UCGCGAAAACUUCACAAUGGGGGCAACCCCGAUGAGGGAAUUCCUAGUGCUAGCACAUUUGUGUUAGCUUUUCUUUAGCUUAGAAAACUAGAGGAAUAAGGGCUGGGUAAGACGGGUGCCAGCCGCCGCGGUAAUACCUGCAGCCCAAGUGGUGGUCGAUUUUAUUGAGUCUAAAACGUUCGUAGCCGGUUCGGUAAAUCUUUGGGUAAAUCGGGGGGCUUAACCUUCCGACUUCCGAGGAGACUGCCGAACUUGGGACCGGGAGAGGCUAGAGGUACUUCUGGGGUAGGGGUAAAAUCCUGUAAUCCUAGAAGGACCACCGGUGGCGAAGGCGUCUAGCUAGAACGGAUCCGACGGUGAGGGACGAAGCCCUGGGUCGCAAACGGGAUUAGAUACCCCGGUAGUCCAGGGUGUAAACGCUGCAGACUUGGUGUUGGAGGCCCUUUGGGGGCAUUCAGUGCCGGAGAGAAGUUGUUAAGUCUGCUACUUGGGGAGUACGUCCGCAAGGAUGAAACUUAAAGGAAUUGGCGGGGGAGCACCGCAACGGGAGGAGCGUGCGGUUUAAUUGGAUUCAACACCGUAAAACUCACCAGGGAAGACUGUUACAUGAAGGCCGGGCUAAAGACUCUGCCAGAUUUUCA
rnacentral:rRNA from 1 species